AGCGAACGCUGGCGGCAGGCUUAACACAUGCAAGUCGAACGGGCAUAGCAAUAUGUCAGUGGCAGACGGGUGAGUAACGCGUGGGAACGUACCUUUUGGUUCGGAACAACACAGGGAAACUUGUGCUAAUACCGGAUAAGCCCUUACGGGGAAAGAUUUAUCGCCGAAAGAUCGGCCCGCGUCUGAUUAGCUAGUUGGUAGGGUAAUGGCCUACCAAGGCGACGAUCAGUAGCUGGUCUGAGAGGAUGAUCAGCCACAUUGGGACUGAGACACGGCCCAAACCCCUCGGGAAGCCGCCAGUGGGGAUUAUUGACAAUGGGCGAAAGCCUGAUCCAGCCAUGCCGCGUGAGUGAUGAAGGCCCUAGGGUUGUAAAGCUCUUUUGUGCGGGAAGAUAAUGACGGUACCGCAAGAAUAAGCCCCGGCUAACUUCGUG
rnacentral:rRNA from 1 species